rnacentral:rRNA from 1 species
AGUAACACGUGAGCAACCUGCCUUUCAGAGGGGGAGUAACAGUUGGAAACGACUGCUAAUACCGCAUGACAUUAGGGGAGGGGCAUCCUCUUCUAAUCAAAGGAGCAAUCCGCUGAAAGAUGGGCUCGCGGCCGAUUAGCUGGAUGGCGGGGUAGAGGCCCACCAUGGCGACGAUCGGUAGCCGGACUGAGAGGUUGAACGGCCACAUUGGGACUGAGACACGGCCCAGACUCCUACGGAAGGCAGCAG